rnacentral:rRNA from 1 species
AUUGAACGCUGGCGGCAGGCCUAACACAUGCAAGUCGAGCGGAUGAAGGGAGCUUGCUCCUGGAUUCAGCGGCGGACGGGUGAGUAAUGCCUAGGAAUCUGCCUGGUAGUGGGGGAUAACGUGCGGAAACGGGCGCUAAUACCGCAUACGUCCUGAGGGAGAAAGGGGGGGAUCUUCGGACCUCACGCUAUCAGAUGAGCCUAGGUCGGAUUAGCUAGUUGGUGGGGUAAAGGCCUACCAAGGCGACGAUCCGUAACUGGUCUGAGAGGAUGAUCAGUCACACUGGAACUGAGACACGGUCCAGACUCCUACGGGAGGCAGCAGUGGGGAAUAUUGGACAAUGGGCGAAAGCCUGAUCCAGCCAUGCCGCGUGUGUGAAGAAGGUCUUCGGAUUGUAAAGCACUUUAAGUUGGGAGGAAGGGCAGUAAGUUAAUACCUUGCUGUUUUGACGUUACCAACAGAAUAAGCACCGGCUAACUUCGUG